AGUGAACGCUGGCGGUAGGCCUAACACAUGCAAGUCGAACGGCAGCACAGUAAGAGCUUGCUCUUACGGGUGGCGAGUGGCGGACGGGUGAGGAAUACAUCGGAAUCUACUUUUUCGUGGGGGAUAAGGUAGGGAAACUUACGCUAAUACCCCAUACGACCUACGGGUGAAAGCAGGGGACCUUCGGACCUUGCGCGAUUAAAUGAGCCGAUGUCGGAUUAGCUAGUUGGCGGGGUAAAGGCCCACCAAGGCGACGAUCCGUAGCUGGUCUGAGAGGAUGAUCAGCCACACUGGAACUGAGACACGGUCCAGACUCCUACGGGAGGCAGCAGUGGGGAAUAUUGGACAAUGGGCGCAAGCCUGAUCCAGCCAUACCGCGUGGGUGAAGAAGGCCUUCGGGUUGUAAAGCCCUUUUGUUGGGAAAGAAAAGCAGCAGGUUAAUACCCCGCUGUUCUGACGGUACCCAAAGAAUAAGCACCGGCUAACUUCGUG
rnacentral:rRNA from 1 species